UCGGCUUUUAAGCAUUGCUUGCAGGAACCGAAAUGUCAGGGGUUCGACCCCCCUAUGAGGAG
rnacentral:tRNA from 1 species